AUUGUUAACGGUAAGUGGAACGAAGUGAGCAUAAGGAGUUGUCAGAAUCACCACA
rnacentral:sRNA from 1 species